CCUACGGGAGGCAGCAGUGGGGAAUAUUGGACAAUGGGGGGAACCCUGAUCCAGCGACGCCGCGUGAGUGAAGAAGUAUUUCGGUAUGUAAAGCUCUAUCAGCAGGGAAGAAAGAAAUGACGGUACCUGACUAAAAAGCCCCGGCUAACUACGUGCCAGCAGCCGCGGUAAUACGUAGGGGGCAAGCGUUAUCCGGAUUUACUGGGUGUAAAGGGAGCGUAGACGGCGAUGCAAGUCUGAAGUGAAAGGCGGGGGCCUAACCCCCGGACUGCUUUGGAAACGGUAUGGCUGGAGUGCAGGAGAGGUAAGUGGAAUUCCUAGUGUAGCGGGGAAAUGCGUAGAUAUUAGGAGGAACACCAGAGGCGAAGGCGGCUUACUGGACUGUAACUGACGUUGAGGCUCGAAAGCGUGGGGAGCAAACAGGAUUAGAUACCCCUGUAGUC
rnacentral:rRNA from 1 species